GCCUACGUCCCCUGCCGGGAAACUACAGCACGCUGCCUAAAGUUUAUUGCGAUAACUGUUUCCAAAGACCAAAAUUGGUUUUCUGGUCCUCGAUCUGUCUUCCUUUCAAAGUGUCUCUCCCUAAUCCUGACACCGCAUCAACUCUACGUGGUUUUUCUUAACGCACAACGGAGUGACGACUGCCCGUUUAAAGCUUAGGCCCCGCGAAGCCAAGAGGAAAGCCCACCCCCGACCGGGUGGGCCGUACGGCGAGCGGCGACGAGCGAGAGCGGCGACCCCCGCGACGUGGAAGCAGACAGCGCACGUACUGCGAGGCCCCGACGGGGUCGCCGCGCCAGAUGCCACCCCGUUAGCAGCAUAUGGCAGGGCAAGGAUGGCUCCCGACCCUUGGCAAGCGCCGCGGCGGCUGGGGCCUGGCGGCGGAGGCGAGGCUGCGGCGGCGAGGGGUGCGCCGGCGGCCGGCACACUGCUCCCCGCGGCCGGGGCGCACGUGGGGCUCGAUGCCGCAGGGUCUCAGAGGCGGCCGGGGCAGAGGGCUGCAGGUGCGGGGGAGGCGAGCGGCUCUUCUCCAAGAGGGCAGGCCCCGGAGGCCGCAGGCCGGAGCGGGGGAGGACAGCCUCCGGAGCAGCGGCGCGGGUGUCCGGCGGAAGCCCGAGACGCCGACUCGAGUGGAUCCCCACUCCAAGGAGCUGCCAAUGAAAAUGUACAUGACCUGGUUCUCAGACUUGAUUAAAACAGAAGUGACUGCACUGACUUCAGAGGCUAGGUCAUAAAAGGCACUGCAUCUUCUUGCUUCUGUCAUCCACUCUGAGCCCAAGUCUAGGGGAAGCCAGCUGUCAUGAGUACACUUGAAUAGCUAUGGAGAGGUCCAGUUGUCCAAGAACCAAGGCCUCUUACUAAAAGCCAUGAUGGUCAUCUUGGAAGACAAUCCUGCAGCCCUGGUCAAGCUUUGUGCUGAAUGCAACCCCUGCCAACAUCUGACUACAACUUCAUGGAGGCCCUGAGCUAGCAACACCCAGCUUAGCCUCUUCUGGGACUGUGUAACACAAAAAGUUCUUGUUUUAAGUCACUAAGCUGGGGCCAGUGUUGUAGGGUAGUUGGUAAAGCUGCAGAUAGCAGCGCCGGCAUCCUGUAUGAGUGCCGGUUCAAGUCCUGACUGCUCUACUUC